rnacentral:rRNA from 1 species
UACGUAGGUGGCAAGCGUUGUCCGGAAUUAUUGGGCGUAAAGCGCGCGCAGGUGGUUUCUUAAGUCUGAUGUGAAAGCCCACGGCUCAACCGUGGAGGGUCAUUGGAAACUGGGAGACUUGAGUGCAGAAGAGGAUAGUGGAAUUCCAAGUGUAGCGGUGAAAUUCGUAGAUAUUGGGUAGAACACCAGUGGCGAAGGCGGCUUUCUGGUCUGUAACUGACGCUGAGGCUCGAAAGCGUGGGGAGCAAACAGG